rnacentral:lncRNA from 1 species
AACUGUUUGAGCUGGGUAGAAAAUUUAGAGUUAAGUUUCCUAGAGACGAAACAAAGAAGGAAAAGUUCCUUCAUUAUAAAGUCCACAAUGUUCCUAAGAUAGUGAUCCUCAGCUGUUCAACAGAAGCACAACUAAAGUUUGAGAGAAAUUUUAACUUUGAGGCCCAUCAAGAGGGCACCAAGCAAUAAAGGAAAUAUCAAGCUCAUGUGGGUCUUUUCUCUUGGUUUCACAGAAUCCCUCAGAGGGAACUUUUCCACUCUCCAGCUUGGGUUACAACCGAUUGCUGUGAUUCCUGCUCCAGACGUGCUUCUAGCUGGGAAGAGAAGAGCUACCGAAACCUCUCAACAUCCAAAGAAGUUCCUCGGCUUUGGUUACAGUUGUUCUGUGUAGGCUGCCCAACCAUCCUGACAGCGCCGACAGAUGCAGCCUCAGAGGGUGAAGCCACAGCUUGGGUCUUCUGGUCCAGGGCGGCCCUCUGGGAAAAAGACCCAUUUGUCUCAGCCUAAACUGAAGAAGGCAGCUGAAAUUCCAACCGCCUGCAGGGAAGCACUUGAUGAAGUAUUUGGAAUUUGAGGGGGUGGAGGGGACUCGUCUCUCCCAAGAGGCCUUGUCUUGUGAGAGAAAGAACACAUGCUUUGAGGCAGAGACAUGGGCUCAGAUGCCAGCUGUGCCACUUACCAGGAGUGUGGCUGGGAGUAGGUGAUAGCCUCUCUGAGCUGGGAAUGGUGCCCACUUAGACACCUACCUAUGAAGUCCCUACCCACCCUCACCCUGAGCUAAUACAUGGUAUGCAAAGGGUUCUUGCAGACCUUCUUCUAUCUUUCCACAGAUAUCCAGUAACACAUGUGUAAAGGGGGUUUGUGUACAUAUGAACACCACAGUCCUCACCUUUGCAUCUCAGGCUAAAUGCCAGGCCCUCCUAGUCCUCAAAAACUAAAUUAAAUGCCCCUUCCAUAUUUGAUUUGAAGCACACUUAUCUCAAACUAUUAUUAUAUAUUCCUCUGGGCUCAUUUAUCUCAUGGCUUUCUGGUCCCCAAGCUACUAGAGUUCCAUGAAGGCAGAGAUAAAAUCUGC